rnacentral:rRNA from 1 species
UACGUAGGGUGCAAGCGUUGUCCGGAAUUAUUGGGCGUAAAGAGCUCGUAGGCGGUUUGUCGCGUCGGCUGUGAAAACCUGGGGCUCAACCCCAGGCCUGCAGCCGAUACGGGCAAACUAGAAUUCGGUAGGGGAGACUGGAAUUCCUGGUGUAGCGGUGAAAUGCGCAGAUAUCAGGAGGAACACCGGUGGCGAAGGCGGGUCUCUGGGCCGAUAUUGACGCUGAGGAGCGAAAGCGUGGGGAGCGAACAGG